UGGACCAGUGAUGACUGUUGGUGGAGUAUGAGCCAUGGACGAUGACUACUUAGUGUCUGAAACUCUGAGGUCCAA
ensembl:snoRNA